CUUCACCUUCCACCAAUCACAUUGCUCACAGAUUGGAGAUACAGCUGGCGCCUGGCGUCUUCCUUCGGAUUUAUUCACCUUAUGACUGGAAUUUCAUGCCCUCUGACCGACAUCUCUCCAUUUCCUCCGCCCGCUGGCCUUGAUGUUGAAUGGAACCGAUACACAUAGUCCAGAGAAGAGAAAGAAGAGUCGAAAGAAAAAAUACUUGUCUGUUAAUUUCUUCCUCAAUUACAAAUGUGGAGAAAGGUGUUUGAUCAUAAAUCCAGGAGCAAAACAGCACUAGCUGUUUACAGUGAACUGAAAUUCUCUCUACGAGAACUUGGGGUCAACUGCUGGUGCUACACAGGCACCCACCUCAGCCUUCCGGACACCAUGAUGGCCACACGGUCACACACAGCCUCGGCCUC